rnacentral:rRNA from 1 species
UGCCCUUGAAGUAGGGGAUAACACUUGGAAACAGGUGCUAAUACCGUAUAACAACCAAAACCACCUGCUUUUGGUUUAAAAGAUGGCUUCGGCUAUCACUUUAGGAUGGACCCGCGGCGUAUUAGCUUGUUGGUAAGGUAACGGCCUACCAAGGCAAUGAUACGUAGCCGACCUGAGAGGGUAAUCGGCCACAUUGGGACUGAGACACGGCCCAAACUCCUACGGGAGGCAGCAGUAGGGAAUCUUCCACAAUGGACGAAAGUCUGAUGGAGCAACGCCGCGUGAGUGAUGAAGGUUUUCGGCUCGUAAAACUCUGUUGUUGGAGAAGAACAGGUGUGAGAGUAACUGUUCACAUCUUGACGGUAUCCAACCAGAAAGCCACGGCUAACUACGUGCCAGCAGCCGCGGUAAUACGUAGGUGGCAAGCGUUGUCCGGAUUUAUUGGGCGUAAAGCGAGCGCAGGCGGUUUCUUAGGUCUGAUGUGAAAGCCUUCGGCUUAACCGGAGAAGUGCAUCGGAAACCAGGAGACUUGAGUGCAGAAGAGGACAGUGGAACUCCAUGUGUAGCGGUGAAAUGCGUAGAUAUAUGGAAGAACACCAGUGGCGAAGGCGGCUGUCUGGUCUGUAACUGACGCUGAGGCUCGAAAGCAUGGGUAGCGAACAGGAUUAGAUACCCUGGUAGUCCAUGCCGUAAACGAUGAGUGCUAAGUGUUGGAGGGUUUCCGCCCUUCAGUACUGCAGCUAACGCAUUAAGCACUCCGCCUGGGGAGUACGACCGCA